rnacentral:rRNA from 1 species
GAUGAACGCUGGCGGCGUGCCUAAUACAUGCAAGUCGAGCGAACGGACGAGAAGCUUGCUCUUCUGAUGUUAGCUGCGGACGGGUGAGUAACACGUGGAUAACCUACCUAUAAGACUGGGAUAACUUCGGGAAACCGGAGCUAAUACCGGAUAAUAUUUUGAACCGCAUGGUUCAAAAGUGAAAGACGGUCUUGCUGUCACUUAUAGAUGGAUCCGCGCUGCAUUAGCUAGUUGGUAAGGUAACGGCUUACAAAGGCAACGAUGCAUAGCCGACCUGAGAGGUGAACCGCCACACUGGGACUUGGAACACGGUCCGACCUCCUACGGGGGGCGGCAGAAGGGAAUCUUGCGCAAUGGCCGAAAGCCUGACGGAGAAAGGCCGCGGGAGUGAGGAGGGUCUUGGGAUCGUAAACCUCUGUUUUUAGGGAGGAACAUAUGUGUAAGUAACUGUGCACACCUUGACGGUACCUAAUCAGAAAGCCACGGCUAACUACGUG